AUUGCUGCAGGGCAUAAUCUUCUUUUAUUGUGAGAUUCACGCAGUAAAGUAGCAGUAGCUUGAUGAUGCCCUUACACAACGUUCCUUGAGCCUUUAUUCAUCAUGUAGUGCUGUUAUCCCUUUUUAUUUCCACUGCAGAAAGCCAGGGAGAUAUGAUAAGUUAUCAAGCCUGCAGUGUUUCCAUAACACUUUCCUAUUGGCUGGACCAACAAGUUGAACUACUUGGUCCACUUGUUGAACACAGGCCACACCACAGGAACAAUGUUACAAGCAGAGGGAGGAUGUGGAAAUAAAUUGUUGCCCAGCUGAUUGGAAGAGACAUCUGCAAAUGAAGGUUUAAUCAUCAGAGAGUUUUCCACAAGGAACGCUGCAGCUGAAGGGAUGCAGACAGUGCCACCAGCACAGGCAGCCUGUUGGAGCCAGACUGAAGAUUAGGAUGUCUAAAGAACAGCUAAUGGAGAAAUCUGUGCAAUGAACAGUGGAGUGCUGUUCAGAAUGUCCAAUCUCAAAGACCACCAUCAUGCCCAGCAGCUGCGCAAGUUGGAUGAGAGACAACUGGCUCGGAUUCAAACUCUCAGCCUCCGGGUUCACUAUCCUCUCAACGAUGCACACUACAGCAGCUGUGAAAGAAAUCAAGGAGUAUUGAACCUCCAGGCAGUUGAUGCUAAGGGUCAAACCAGAAUAUGAUAAGUUAACCUUGGAUGGAGCCAGUUUAUAAAGAUGACCUCCAAGAUCGAGAUGAACAGCUGGCAGGAAAAAUGACUGGUGACCUCCAUUACUGAACUCUAGCAGGGGGCAGCUGAACUUGGACAGCCUACCAUUCAUCGCUGAUAAACUACCCACAUCCCACUAAUGAUGCUUUAUGGUCCGAAAUAGUAAGUAUUCAGAGUCACGUCUCUGUGUAACCAGCCUAUUCGUCAUGCCGCAAAUGUUAGCAAAGGCUUUCAGAGGUUACCAUACAUGUCAGUUCUCACUACCAGAGGAAUUCAUCAUCUAAUUUGUGUCCCUAGUUGGAACACGGGAAUUCUUAAUGACGAAACUCAGUCUACAUAAAGCCUCUCCUAGGCUUUUAAUGUUAUGUGGCAACCAAAGUCACUGGUCCAUGAAAUAACGAAUAUACUGGAAUUUUGAUGGCUGAGCUAAUCAAUGUACCCGUUCCAGACACCAUAACUCUGUGAUUCAUGUGGCCAUGUCCAAGUAAAGGUUGACCCUGAUAAACAUUGAGGCUUUCUUCAGCUGAAUUAAGGAUACCUUGCAUCAUGGAUGAUGGAAAGACAUUCAAGUUGAUGUGAAAAUCUGUUGAUGUUAAAAUCUGUACAUACGUUCAUCAUCAUCAACCUUGCCACAUAUCAGUCAAUGUAUACUGAGGUAGCUGCUGAAGUUUUGGACAAAGAAGCAUCAUGUUGAACCUGGUUUCUUUUGAGUAAGUCUUGGGAUCGAGUGUAAAGCGUUACGGCACCAAAAGACCCUUUUUGUGUUCUUGAAUGUUUGAGUCAUUACAAAACAUUUAACUGUUGGACUUUUUUCAACAACUGCUGUGGAUGUAACAGCAACUGUGUAGCCAUCUGUUUUUAUGAAGGUCCAUUUUAGUUACCCUCUUUGUUGUCAAAUUGCCCCCUUUUAUCAUUUGUGUUAAUGUAGUUGUGAAAAAUGUAUUUUUUGUUUAUAUACAGGCUAUCAACUGAUACAGGAAUCAUGUGGCAAAGAAUACAUAAUACUUUUCGCUACUAAUCUUCACAAGCAAAUGGUUAGAUGCAAAUAACAUAAUGACCUUCAAUCUCAAGUGUCUCUUAUCUCACAGCUGUUACUUUACAACUCACCUCUGACAACAAUGGUUGGAAUAGUUUAUUCAUCAAUUUGUUACUUACAUACAAUAGCUACCAUAUAAUAUCUGCAUUCAUCAGACAAAACAUUACACCCUCAUGUGACAUUUUAGGUUUUAGCUGCAAGUCAUGGUUUACUGCCUUCAGUACAUGCCAAUUGUGGGCUAAUCUUCAAAGAGAAUUUUAGAUGAUCACCUCAACCUUUAAACUGCUUAGGGACAAGUUUAGGGCUGUCUGCUUGUCAAGUCCAUCCAUCUGAGGCUGAUCCGUAAUCCCCAGGCAACCAUCCCUGUCAGCUAAGGUCAGCCGAGAAGAAAAGUUGUCACGGAAGCCUCGACACCAAAACUUUCCUAUCAUUAAUCUUCUUUGUAGUGGAUCUUGGGCGGGACCUUCAAAUUUUGUCUUGCAGUAAUGUCUGGUGCCUCUGGCUAAGUGUUUGUCAUAUAUCCUUUAGCAUUUCAAACUUAUAACUUAUGGUAUUUGUGUCAGGGUUGCACAAAAGGACUGGGUCAUACAGAAAACUCAAACUGGUACAAAGUGCUGCUUUCUUGCUUGCGGCUACGAGAAAGAAUGGGAGUUAAAAACAUAUCAUGCCACGUCAUGCCACUACCAGUGGACUAGCCCUACACUUUUGUGGCCAUGUGUGAUGCAAGAGCCUUAGAAACAGAGAUGAGCAUUACCCUAUUCACCAAUUAUAGGA